rnacentral:rRNA from 1 species
CAGUCGCCGCGGGAAUACGAAGGGGGCAAGCGUUGUCCGGAAUCAUUGGGCGUAAAGCGCGUGUAGGCGGCUCGAUAAGUCUGCUGUGAAAGUCCAGGGCUCAACCCUGGAAUGCCGGUGGAAACUGUCGAGCUCGAGUCCGGAAGAGGCAAGUGGAAUUCCUGGUGUAGCGGUGAAAUGCGCAGAUAUCAGGAGGAACACCAAUGGCGAAGGCAGCUUGCUGGGACGGUACUGACGCUGAGACGCGAAAGCGUGGGGAGCAAACAGGAUUAGAUACCCGUGUAGUCCCUGUCUCUUAUAC